UACGUAGGGAGCAAGCGUUGUCCGGAAUCAUUGGGCGUAAAGCGCGCGUAGGUGGCCAUUUAAGUCCGCUGUGAAAGUCAAAGGCUCAACCUUUGAAAGCCGGUGGAUACUGGGUGGCUAGAGUACGGAAGAGGCGAGUGGAAUUCCUGGUGUAGCGGUGGAAUGCGCAGAUAUCAGGAGGAACACCAGUAGCGAAGGCAGCUCGCUGGGACGUUACUGACACUGAGGCGCGAAAGCGUGGGGAGCGAACAGG
rnacentral:rRNA from 1 species